UACGGAGGGGGCUAGCGUUGUUCGGAAUUACUGGGCGUAAAGCGCACGUAGGCGGUUUUCCAAGUCAGAUGUGAAAUCCCCGGGCUUAACCUGGGAACUGCAUUUGAUACUGGAUGACUAGAGGCCGGGAGAGGGUAGUGGAAUUCCCAGUGUAGAGGUGAAAUUCGUAGAUAUUGGGAAGAACACCGGUGGCGAAGGCGGCUACCUGGACCGGUACUGACGCUGAGGUGCGAAAGCGUGGGGAGCAAACAGG
rnacentral:misc_RNA from 1 species